AGUGAACGCUGGCGGUAGGCCUAACACAUGCAAGUCGAACGGCAGCACAGUAAGAGCUUGCUCUUACGGGUGGCGAGUGGCGGACGGGUGAGGAAUACAUCGGAAUCUACUUUUUCGUGGGGGAUAACGUAGGGAAACUUACGCUAAUACCGCAUACGACCUACGGGUGAAAGCAGGGGAUCUUCGGACCUUGCGCGAUUGAAUGAGCCGAUGUCGGAUUAGCUAGUUGGCGGGGUAAAGGCCCACCAAGGCGACGAUCCGUAGCUGGACUGAGAGGAUGGUCGCCAACCCUGGAACUGGGACACGGUCCAGACUCCUACGGGAGGCAGCAGUGGGGAAUAUUGGACAAUGGGCGCAAGCCUGACCCAGCCAUCCCGCGUGGGUGAAGAAGGCCUUCGGGUUGUAAAGCCCUUUUGUUGGGAAAGAAAAGCAGCAGGUUAAUACCCCGCUGUUCUGACGGUACCCAAAGAAUAAGCACCGGCUAACUUCGUG
rnacentral:rRNA from 1 species